GCUCGGGGCCGCGGCCGGACCAGGGCUGCAAGGAGGGGAGAAGAGGGGAGGGAAAGGGACUGGCCCUGCUCCAGCCCCGCUCCGCGGCGACAGGUGGGCGCUCCCGCGGGAGGCCGUGGCGUCCGGGCGCUGCUGCGGGCCCCGCUCCGCCCUACAGACCCCGGGCCGACCGGGCAGCGCUUCUCGGGGCUGCGCUGCGCGCCGUUCCCCGAGCAGGCCCUGGACGGUCCCGCGCCUCCUCCCCUCCCUGGGGGCGCAGGGCCGGACCGCGGGUGGCGGGGUGGGGGUCCAGGCCCUGCAGGCGCUGCGACCCCUCGAGCGCCGCUGCAACCGGCCGCGCACCCCUGCGCUGUGGGGGGGGGGCCGGGCCCCCAGCCGCGAUGCAGCAGCCCCCGCGGGAGACACGAGCUCUGAGGACCCCGGGUGGUCUAGAGUCGCCGGCCGCCUCGUGACCCCUGGGAGGACCUGUGUCGCCCGCAGCGCCGCCUCGCCCCUCCCUGUGCCGGGGGAGAGGAUCCCAUCGGGCGCCCGGAAGCCCGGGGCUUUCUUGUCUGGGGCGAGGCGGCCCCCGUGGCGCGGUGGGUGCUAGUGCGAAGCUGCGUCCGCUAAAGCAAACACUCAUAAUGAAAACAGUCGGGUUAGCUUCACUCGGGAGCCUUCCUGAGGACGGCGGAGCGGGCCGGCAGCUCCUUCCAGAGGCUGCGCUGCUGCGUCGGGGUCAGCCGGGUUUGGGUGGGUGGGCGAGCGCAGAGGUGUGUGGAGCGGGUCUUCUAUCUUCGGAGGAGGCGGUGGCCCAGGCAGGUGGCGGCCCCGCGCUGGUCCUGCGCUGUGUCCUCGGCGCGUCCUCAGCUGCGGCGUCCAGGCGUCCGCACAGACACGCGGGCGGGGCUGCCGAGCCUGCUGCUGGGCCUCGGGGGGCUGCAGAGACGGCAGGAAUGGUGACCCGGAAUGGUGACCGUUGCUUCAGAGUCCUUUGGCUAUGAGUAACUCACCGAAUUGAGUGUGAGUUUUAUGAAUUCGUUGUGUUCGCUGAAGAGCUAUGGCGGAGUGAGAAAACCUAACGCAUACGUAGUUCCCAAAUAGGCGGUACCAUGUUUUGUUUUUUUCCCGUCGCUCAAACAUCUUCGAGGCUCCUGCACGGCUGGUGCUGUGCCUCCGGGCCCAGGUGACCUCGGGGGGAGAAGGAAGGGACCACUGAGAUGAGAAUGUAGUUUUGCUGUUUUCAGUUUACACUCAAAGCGCUGCAGUUUCCUGACACUACAGAGCACACCUGUCACGCCGGCAGGAUGAAGCACAGAGGCUGCCUGGUGAAGUGGGCUGCGCGCUAGAAAAUCCACGUGCGGAGUAGCUUGGUUCUCUCCACGGGGAGCGUGCCAGGCCCUCGGGCGCCGCGGGAGCCUCGCCUUCUGCACAGGCUUCGGAGCCAGGUGCUGGAGCCGCAGUGACUGAGGGGCGUGGAUGUCUUUGCACGUUUCCCAUAUGUUUUUCAAACGUUAAUAACGUGAUUUUCAGUAAAGUGGCAGAAUCAGCAUUGAAGAAAGGGGAGCAAGUGCGAGCCGCUUUCCUGCGAGCGGUUGAGAAGCAGGCUUUGUGUGGUUGGCCGCCCCUGUGCUUAGCGGCUGCUCAGCCCUGCCCCUGCUGCCCCUGCGGGAGCCGCCUUCCCAGCUUAGAAACAACACUGCCUCCGACUGCUAGUUAUCGGCGGCCUCCACAGGGAAGCUGAGGCAGGUUCGUGUUCUCACAGCUAGGAAGGACGUGGCCCUGGCAGGGAGCUGCAGCACAGCCUCUGGCAACACAGAAGCACUGCCCUGCCGGACCCUUGCCUCCCAGGUCAGCUGUUGUCCGCCCAGCAGCCGGAGCGCUUGCUCGCGUGGACUCUUCAGCGGUGCCAGGUGCAGCUGGGCUCCACCCUCAACUGGCCCAAUAGUAGGGAAAUAAACGAGAAGUGUCGUGAAUCGUUAGACAGCAUCUGUAUGUCUAAGUUCAAAUUAGAGCCGCCCAGCCACACGUGUGGAUACAAAGCUGCCAUUCAGUGGGGAGCCGGAGCCUAGGGGCCUGUGUCACUCCCCUGGAUGUGGAUGUGGGUGAAGGUCACCCAGAGGCCCUGCCCCCUUGUCACCUCCCAGAAUGUCGGCAAGGCCUCUGGGAUCUGGGGUCAGGAGUUCCAGGAGGCUCGCUUCUGCUUCUGCCCAGUUCACUGUUCCCUCCACGGCAGCUGAAGCUUCAGCUGCUGCACGGCCCACCCAGCCAGGGCAGAAGGGAGCCCUCCAUCCCAGGCAGUGCCCUGGUGGGUGUCCGUCCUGUGGCAGACACUGGCCGUAGAGGUUGAGAAAGGAGAGGACCCUAGCCUGCCUCUGGAGGCCCAAGGGAGGCAGUGAAGGGCCCGAAGCUGCGAUGCAGGAGUUUCCAGAGCACAGGGGAAUACGGAGCAGGAAACACCAGCCCUCAGCUCCACUGGGGAGCCACACAACCUCUGCCAGUGCUGAGUGGCUACAGGGCUCUGUUACCAGCCCCAUUCCUCCUGGACAGGCGAGGUCGGUCCGCAUCGCACCCCCCAACCUCUUGUGCUCUGUGACCUCAGAGUACACAAAGCCGUGUCCACAGGCCUCAGCGGCUGUGAGCCCCUCGCCUACACUGGGGGGUCCUCAGCUGACACCUGAGCCAGUGUCCUGUGCCCCAGUGGUGCCAGGACAGAGUCCCCAUCCCCAACCUGAUUUGUGCACCUCCUCACUCACUGCCAGCACUGUCCCCCCACCAACAGGCUUGCUCAGUACAGCACCAAACCCAGGUCCCUAGCACCCACACCCCAGUGAGUUUCCUACACCCUGUAGGCUCAGCUGCUUCUCGUCCUCCGCCCACCUAGGAUCCUUGGAACAGGGAGUGGUUCUUAUUUAGGUCCCUGAGGUACCAAGUACAGGCUUCACUCUUAGCAGCCGCCACCCCAGUGAUGAAGCUGAUAGCCUAAGCAGACUGGCCCCUGCAGAGCUCUGGGGGGAGGUACCUGGCUUCUCGGGCCUCCACCCUGGCCCACAACUGCCUCCAGGCCCAGAGCAGCAGAUCGCAACCUGCCUGCCCCUGGGGCUGGGUCUCCAGCAGUCAGGACUGAGCUGCUGCUAGCUGCUGACUGGUUCCUUCUGGCUGGGCAGGUGUGGGGUGAAGGGGGCGCAUUUGCCCCGUGUCCCCAUCGGCUGCAUCACCACACAUUCCCUUGUGACACCUCCGACUAGAACAGACCAGGAGUGUGGGAGGAGCCCCCACCUGCUCCCCCAGCUCCCCGGGGUUGUCUUCUGUCUGCUCCUUUUGUCUUCCACACGGAAGAGCGUGCUCCGGCCGGGGAUGGGCACGCGUGGUGCUGGGGAAUGGACACCUGUGAAAUGGUGGCGUGUGCAUCAAGUCUAAAUAGCCGUUCGCAGGUUCUUGGGGCUUUUUGUUUCCAGAAAGCUGAUCUGAUCUUUAUAGAAAGUGCUCCUCUGUACUCCAGCCUGGGUCUCCCUCCCGUCCAGGCCGGCAGCACUGUCUGACUCAGUGAGGAGGGGCUGAAACUGGAGAGCCCCUGGGAAGACUCUUGAGGGCCAGGUGGCAGCGGGGAGGGUGGCUCUCGUUCCCUGCCCUCAUCCUAGCGUUUAGCAGACUGCCCCACACCGCAGGUUUCCAUUUUCACCCUUGGGUUAAGAGAAAAGCAGGAAUAAAAAGUUUCUAAUGUUGCUCACGAAAUUCA